CUACGGGGGGCUGCAGUGAGGAAUAUUGCGCAAUGGGGGAAACCCUGACGCAGCGACGCCGCGUGGAUGAUGAAGGCCUUCGGGUCGUAAAAUCCUGUCAGAAGGAAAGAAGUGUAUGGUAGCUAAUAUCUGCCAUACUUGACGGUACCCUCAAAGGAAGCACCGGCUAACUCCGUGCCAGCAGCCGCGGUAAUACGGAGGGUGCAAGCGUUGUUCGGAAUUACUGGGCGUAAAGCGCGCGUAGGCGGUUUUAUAAGUCAGAUGUGAAAGUCCACGGCUCAACCAUGGAGGUGCAUUUGAAACUGUAAGACUUGAGUAUGGGAGGGGGUAGUGGAAUUCCCGGUGUAGAGGUGAAAUUCGUAGAUAUCGAGAGGAAUACCGGUGGCGAAGGCGACUAUCUGGCCAAAUACUGACGCUGAGGUGCGAAAGCGUGGGGAGCAAACAGGAUUAGAUACCCCUGUAGUC
rnacentral:rRNA from 1 species